rnacentral:rRNA from 1 species
AACGAACGCUGGCGGCAUGCCUAACACAUGCAAGUCGAACGAGACCUUCGGGUCUAGUGGCGCACGGGUGCGUAACGCGUUGGAACCUGCCUUUAGGUUCGGAAUAACUCAGAGAAAUUUGAGCUAAUACCGGAUGAUGUCUUCGGACCAAAGAUUUAUCGCCUUUAGAUGGGCCCGCGUUGGAUUAGCUAGUUGGUGGGGUAAAGGCCUACCAAGGCGACGAUCCAUAGCUGGUCUGAGAGGAUGAUCAGCCACACUGGGACUGAGACACGGCCCAGACUCCUACGGGAGGCAGCAGUGGGGAAUAUUGGACAAUGGGCGAAAGCCUGAUCCAGCAAUGCAGCGUGAGUGAUGAAGGCCUUAGGGUUGUAAAGCUCUUUUAACCGAGAUGAUAAUGACAGUAUCGGGAGAAUAAGCUCCGGCUAACUCCGUG